CAGCCGCCGCGGGAAUACGGAGGAUCCAAGCGUUAUCCGGAAUCAUUGGGUUUAAAGGGUCCGUAGGCGGUCUUGUAAGUCAGUGGUGAAAGCCCAUCGCUCAACGGUGGAACGGCCAUUGAUACUGCAGGACUUGAAUUAUUGGGAAGUAACUAGAAUAUGUAGUGUAGCGGUGAAAUGCUUAGAGAUUACAUGGAAUACCAAUUGCGAAGGCAGGUUACUACCAAUUGAUUGACGCUGAUGGACGAAAGCGUGGGUAGCGAACAGGAUUAGAUACCCGCGUAGUCCCUGUCUCUUAUAC
rnacentral:rRNA from 1 species